CCUAUUAAUAGCAUAAUAGGAGUGUAUGCAGAAGAGGUUUCCUGCGCAAAAGAGUAUAGUUUUAAUCAUUUGGGUGGAUGUCCAAAAAUCAGCAGGUAUUGCAGCUUAAAAGGGUCGGGAAUGUCAGUUUGGGACAGAGUAGUUGAAGCUCAGCAUCUUAAAAAGGGACACUCCAAGCACCAUAACCACUACAGAUCACUGCCAUUUUUGAAUGGUUUGACUUCUUAC